rnacentral:rRNA from 1 species
AUUGAACGCUGGCGGCAUGCUUUACACAUGCAAGUCGAACGGUAACAGGCCGCAAGGUGCUGACGAGUGGCGAACGGGUGAGUAAUGCAUCGGAACGUGCCCAGUCGUGGGGGAUAACUACUCGAAAGAGUAGCUAAUACCGCAUACGAUCUAUGGAUGAAAGCGGGGGACCGUAAGGCCUCGCGCGAUUGGAGCGGCCGAUGUCCGAUUAGGUAGUUGGUGGGGUAAAGGCUCACCAAGCCAACGAUCUGUAGCUGGUCUCAGAGGACGACCAGCCACACUGGGACUGAGACACGGCCCAGACUCCUACGGGAGGCAGCAGUGGGGAAUUUUGGACAAUGGGCGCAAGCCUGAUCCAGCAAUGCCGCGUGCAGGAAGAAGGCCUUCGGGUUGUAAACUGCUUUUGUACGGAACGAAACGGCUCUGGUUAAUACCCGGGGCUAAUGACGGUACCGUAAGAAUAAGCACCGGCUAACUACGUG